AUGCAAGUCGAACGAUGAAGCUGGAGCUUGCUCCGGUGGAUUAGUGGCGAACGGGUGAGUAACACGUGAGCAAUCUGCCCUUGACUCUGGGAUAACUGCGGGAAACUGUAGCUAAUACCGGAUACGAGACUUGGAGGCAUCUCCAGGUCUGGAAAGAAUUUCGGUCAAGGAUGAGCUCGCGGCCUAUCAGCUAGUUGGUGAGGUAAUGGCUCACCAAGGCGACGACGGGUAGCCGGCCUGAGAGGGUGACCGGCCACACUGGGACUGAGACACGGCCCAGACUCCUACGGGAGGCAGCAGUGGGGAAUAUUGCACAAUGGGCGAAAGCCUGAUGCAGCAACGCCGCGUGAGGGAUGAAGGCCUUCGGGUUGUAAACCUCUUUUAGCAGGGAAGAAGCGAAAGUGACGGUACCUGCAGAAAAAGCACCGGCUAACUACGUGCCAGCAGCCGCGGUAAUACGUAGGGUGCAAGCGUUGUCCGGAAUUAUUGGGCGUAAAGAGCUCGUAGGCGGUUUGUCGCGUCUGCUGUGAAAAUCCGAGGCUCAACCUCGGACUUGCAGUGGGUACGGGCAGACUAGAGUGCAGUAGGGGAGAAGGGAAUUCCUGGUGUAGCGGUGGAAUGCGCAGAUAUCAGGAGGAACACCGAUGGCGAAGGCACUUCUCUGGGCUGUAACUGACGCUGAGGAGCGAAAGCGUGGGGAGCGAACAGGAUUAGAUACCCUGGUAGUCCACGCCGUAAACGUUGGGCGCUAGAUGUGGGCCACAUUCCACGUGGUCCGUGUCGCAGCUAACGCAUUAAGCGCCCCGCCUGGGGAGUACGGCCGCAAGGCUAAAACUCAAAGGAAUUGACGGGGGCCCGCACAAGCGGCGGAGCAUGCGGAUUAAUUCGAUGUCACGCGAAGAACCUUUACCAGGCUUGACAUAUAGAGGAAACGUGCAGAAAUGUACGCCCCAGCAAUGGUCUCUAUA
rnacentral:rRNA from 1 species